GCGGAGGAAGAGGAACUAACUAGGAUUGUCGYAGUAAGGGCGACUGAAGUGACAACUGCUCACCAUAAGAAUCUGCGGCCGAAUUGUGGUCAUAUUCACACCAUAGAUCCAGGUUAAGUUCGUUGGAACACGACAGCAUUGAGGGUGAGACUCCCGUUUGCCUGGCGCUGGAAGUGAGUGUAUUCGAGUCGAGUUGUUUGGGAUUACAGCUCUAAGURGGUGGUAAACUCCAUCAAAAGCUAAACACUGGUAGGAGACCGAUAGUGUACAAGUACCGUGAGGGAAAGAUGCAAAGAAGCGCGAAAGCGCCGUCAAAAAGUACCUGAAGUUGCUGAAAUGGAAGCAAAGGAAACUAGUGCCAAGUGUGUCAUACUUCUCCAGCUGCUUGUGGUUGGGGCGCUGUGGCCCGAUACCGUCAUCCCUGGUCCUAGUGUGCAGAGAGGGAUUUUUUUGUUGC
rnacentral:rRNA from 1 species